AAAAUGUAUUCAUUAUGUUACUGCAGAUGCGUGAGGUACUUGAUACCAUCAAUAUUUGCUCGAAAUUAAUAAACAGUUGCGGCAAUUAUUCAUAAAAAUGCAUGCAUGUUAAUAAAGAAACGAUACUAAUAUUUCAGUUAACUUCCUUUGGAUUUUAGAUUAAUUUGUAAUACUUUAUUUGAUUAAAAUCUAAAUGAAGUUGCCCUUAAAUAUCACCUUAUUUUCAAAAUUUGGCUUGUACUUCUUUUGAGGACCUGGUAUUGCAUAAGUAACUAAAGAUGAUGAAUCAUCAUUAAAACUUCAUUUUUAAAUUAGUUCAAGGUUCAGACAUCACUGUCUUGUAAGCUGUACGGCCGUAAAUGUUUAGACACUUCCAAGAUGGCGGACGCUGAAAGUCAACACAGGCUUAUGCCAUUCACGUGUAAUUACUGUUGCUUCGAGGGCAAAUUUGAUAUGGUUGUUGAACACUGCACAGAACUCCACUCCAAUCAAAUUCGUCUAAAGAAAACAUGCCUGCCUGCACAACACAGCAGAUUAUAGAUGACUGGGAUGAGCCUUUAAGAGACGUAUCAACCAUUCGUUUAAGGGACCAUUCGUUUGAUCUAGAGGAGAGAAGGCGAGGAAAAAGAACCAGAAAAUCUGGAAAAGUGUCUAAGCCAAAUCAGCAAGCACGAAAUCCGUUCCCAGUUCGGGAGUACCACAAGGCGUCAGAGGCAAAGAUACUUCCCCAUGUGCGUCGUGGGUUAAACCUGGAAUCUUUUAACGACUCAUAGAAACUAGACUCUUUGAAGGACUCAUAGAAACACUACUCUUUUAAUACCUCGUAGAAACUGGACUCUUUUUAACGACUCAUAAUAUCAAAAUGGUUACACAGUGGUAUAUGAACUUGAUAAGUUUAUGUGCUACCAUUUUCAACAGUUGCUUAAAUACUUCAUAUUUCGUUGUUGGCUUAGAACUGAUUAUUAAUAAUUGGAAAGUAAAAAUGAUAUAACGUAUAA
rnacentral:lncRNA from 1 species